CUACACAUAUUGGGAUGAAAAUUUUACCUCAAAGUGCGUAGAAGCCCUUUUAAAUCCUCUGAAACUAAAUGAUCCAGUUGAGACCAAAACAAUGACAGAUAAAUUUGCUGCAGUUUGCAUACUCCAGGGUUAUUUAGAUAACAUGAACAGGGCAUUGAGAUCUGCAGAUAAGUGUGACUCAGCUUCUGGUCAAUGAACAUUUGCCUCUUAAAGGUUCUUCAGCCUUGCAGUCUUUGGUCGAAGCAUGGUUCUGAAAGCAUUUCCGUUUCCUGUAACAUUCAGUUGGUCGAGAUGUAGGUGCAGAGCUGACAUAUUCCGCUGACAGCACAUCACCUGUGCAAAUUAGUCGUAACUGAUGCUAAUCUAUUUGGAAGAUCCCUUCUCCCCUUUCCUUA